UUUUUUCUUUUUUAUUUUUUUCAUAUUUUAUUUUCAUUAACAAAUACUAUCCUUAAUCAUUAUUUCCCAAGGGUUAUAAAAAUAAUAAUAUCUUUGUAUGUAUCUUAAUACAUAUAUAUAUAUAUAGGAAGAGCCUACAUAGUAACAUAUAAUCUAUUAUAUAUAAUAUGUAGGUUACACACUAUAUAUACACACAUAUAUAUCUUACAUGCUGUAAACUAUAGCACCACCAUAUAUAUAAAAUAUUGUGUAUAUGUAUUUUUAUAUAUAGACAUAAUAAUUCAUAUGAAUGUGCCUGAGUUUGUAUCCCCUGCCAAAUAAAUUCAAAAAAAUUUCAUACAUAUAGUACUUUUUUUGUGGAGAGAUGCAAUAUUAAUAAGCAUAAAUAUAAAAACUAAGAAGUCAAAUAGUAAAUAAAUAUUUUUAACUCCAUGAAAUUCAUAAUUCCUCCUACUUGAAUUCUAGCUUUUAAGUUAUAAAUAAAAACACUUAGGUAGUCUGUGGUCCAUAAAAUACAAUGGGGACAAUAUUAUUUUUUAAUAACACGUUCUAUAUUAUCAUUGUUUACAUUGUAAUAUAAAGGCAUGUAAAUGAGUGUAUCUUCACUUUUUAAUUCUCAAAAUCAGUUUAUGUGAAUGAGAGCAUUAUUUGAAGAUGCUCACCAUAAAAUAUUAGUUUAGAUUAAAAAAUAAUUACUUGUAACUUUGCGGUUAAGUUCAUGGAUAUGAGGGCAGACAAUCUUCUGGGAAUCUCAGCUUUAUCAUUUCCAAGUAACCCUGGAAAAAUUUAGGUAAUCUCUUUAAUCCUUCAUCUCCUUACCUGUACAAUUGAGUUAAUUAUAAUAUCUACUUUACAGGAUUAUUGGAAGGAUUAAAAUGGUAAAUUCAUAUAAAACAUUUAAAAUAGUGAUGUGUAAAUAAUAAGUACUGUUAUUGUUAUCAAUGUUAUAUAUAUGUGUGUCCUAUUAGUGAUUAGUGUUUUGUACCACAACAUACUUUCACAUUAUCUUAUUUACUAUUUAUUUUAUUUAUUUUUACUAUUUUUCCUUCCUGUAUUACAAUGCUAAUGGCAAAUUAAAUUGAUCUAUUUAACUGAAACUUAUUAUUUAUCUCCACACAAUUCUUUAAUAAUACUCAGAAAUAUGCAAUAUGCAAAACAAGAUUACAAAUUUCUACAUAGUAGUGCUUCAUUUAAAGGACUCAAUGGCUUUUUAAAGGACUCACAAUUAUAAUAGCCUUUCCUGUAUAAUGCUUCAGGCUUUGCAGUGUUUGAAAUAGAGUCAAUCAAUAAAAUUUUGAAAAGCUACACAGUAGGGAGGAUCUUCAAAAUGUUUCUAAGUUUGUAUAACUGACUUCUAGAGAAUCAUGGAAACCCCACACAUAUGAGAGCAUAAAGAGACUUACAUAUGUGUGUACUUGUGCUCUAGAAAGGUCAGCAAAUCCAUCAUUUAUGUUAGAUUUUUUUUGUUAGCCUAUUUUUGUUCUUUUCCCACUUUUACAAAUAAUUACUCUGAAACUCAUCACAAAGAUUCAGGAAUAAGUAGGACAUCCUCUGGAGAACAUUUUGUUACACAAAUUCAAGAUAAUUUCAGAACAGGCUAUUUUUUUU
rnacentral:lncRNA from 1 species